UCUUCCCCUGCUUGUCACCUGGUUGGGAACCUUUAGAGGCAGCUCAUCUUUGCAUCUCCCCAUCACAGGGAGCAGUGGUUUUGGUACCCACAGGACUUAGCCUUUGGUUUGCAUCUGUCCUUCAGAGGAGGAGGAUACAGAGGCUGGUUUUGAGAUUAUUUGGAGCUGGUGAUCAGUGAGGUCUCUUUAAGCUGAUUGAGCCAACUGUGCUGACUUAGUCAGUUAACCUAGAUAAAUACCACUCUGAGUUUUCUUUUUUCAUUUAAGAAAAAUAGUGUCAGAGUACAGGAUGGACUCCCCCAGUGGGAGAGCUGACACCAUGUAAAUGAUUCAUUAGCAGAUGCUUUAGCUGAACCUCAGCUGUUUUCACCAGUGACGUCGAUGUGACGGAGAUAUUUGUUCAGGUGAUGGGACUUGAGUGGGCCUUGGGCCAGACCUCCACCCCCAGGGACCACCCUUCUAGCACUGAAAGGCAAUAGUCUUCACACUGGCUGAAUCCUGUAUUUUCUCAAUCCUCCAAAUCCGACCAACUUCUCUAAAUUGUACUGCAAGGUUUUGGCAGCCAGAGCUCCCACUCCUUGCCACCAUCCCACCGCCACCACUGGAGGUGCUGAAGGCCAAGUACAAGCCAUCCGGGUGGAAACCUGUAUUUGAAGGUCUGCACCGCGGGGCAAAGGGCCAGCUUGUUCCCUCUGCAACUGGAUGAGCUGAAUUGGCAGCAGACAACCAGCGUUUCUCAGGAAGCUGUACCAACAAGAUGCAAAAGGGAGAGGUGGAGCAGAGGAGGGCAGUUCAUGAGCUGAUUGUGCUAAGCCCUGUCAAAUAAUCCUUUAGAAACCCGAUGGUAAUCAAUGCCACCCAAGGGCACCACAUGUGCCAAUAAAAACCUCUUGCAUUUUGGCUAAA